rnacentral:lncRNA from 10 species
UAACUAAUACAUGUACAACCAAUCAGACUUGCCAUGGUAUGGGAUCUAUAUAAUCUUCCAAGCCCCCUUAAGUGGGCGAUAAUGAAAACUUUAUCAUUAGGAGGAGGUUUAGAGAGUUGUUUUUAUUGACAUCUUGUCUUGAUUCCUCUUCUGUGUGACCCACUGGAUUCAGAGGUCCCCAUGAGCACCCUCAGGUUCAAUGAUUCAUGAGUAGAACUCAGAGGUAGGGAAAACUGUUAUAUGCACAUUUAGCAUUUAUUACAACAAAAGGAUGCAGAUGAAAAGCAGCAAAUGUGAAAGGCACCUCUAGAGAGAGUCCAAGAGAGCCCAGGCACAAGCUUCCAGUGGGGUUGCACAGUCAGCAUCUAAUCCUCCCAGAAAUAAUGUUUAACAACACGUGGAGUAUUGUCAGCCAGGAAAGCUCAUCCAAGUUUUGGUGUCCAGGGGAUGUUUGGGGGUAUGGAGUAGGUAUGGAGUGCCUUCAUGGCCUGCAUGGCUAAACUUAGUUAUUCAGUCUCCAGUCCCUCUAGAGGUCAAGCUGAUACUGCACGACCUAAGGCCCCACCAUAAAUCACAUUGUUAACAUAAACUAUCUGUCAUGGCACGAAGCCCCAGGUACAAGAGACACUCAUCAGGCAGGAUAUUCCAAGGAUUUACAGGGGAUUCCCCAGGAGCUGGUCAAGGACCAGAUGUUCCUCUGAAAGGUGCAGGAUUUGAGCUCAUCUGUGGAGUACGUCUGUGGAGUCAACUUUCUUCUGCAUCCCCACAUACUGAUUUGCCACCUUCAUUGUAUCAGAUUCCUUUUUCACUAUAUUCAGGUUUGCGGUUGCUCCAGUAUCCCUAUCUAUGCUGAGUCUCCACGUAGAGCAUGUGUGCCCUCUCCAGUGGCUCUGCACGGACCCCUUAUUUCUCAUUACCAGGGACAGUUUUUCUCCUGAUGUGCCUGGUGCUCCUUCUCCACUCUCUUGCCUUAGGACUCUGCUGGGCCAUGAGUAUUUUUUUUACCCUUUUGUGACCUAGGGCUGCCCUUGGGUGAGGAAAGUCACUUUCUGUUCAUCAUCUAAGUAGAAAACAGUUUCUGCCAUUGGAAGACCCCUGAGUUCCCUGGCACUCCUGUGAACCACAAGGUGCCUGGGGAGGUAGAACUUGGACAUUGGAGAGAGGAGCAGCCAGACAUUUCUCUUUCUAAUCAUAUGCAGAAAGAUUUCUUUUUAUUCUCCAGAACACUUGAAAGACUCUCCAAGUUAUGCAAAUGUCAAGCUCAUAAAUGUAUAUUAUCAUGACUUUUGCAAAGAUGAAGAGGAUACAGCAAAUUUUCUGGGAGGCAAAGGGACUUCUACCUGGAUAGGAACCAAGCAAACUCAUUAAGCAUGGAUUAAUUUGAUUCAACCCUUGCGUGGAUAUUAAUUAAGGACCUUUGACAGGAGAGGGUCCUCAAGGUUCCUCAAAGAGUAACUUAUCAUCAAGGAAGGUGAAGAAUGGAUGGAUGGCUUGGGCCCAAGACUGGGGCUAUUCACUUGUGGGGAAACCCAUGUGAACCCAGUUACCCCAUACUUUGGGAAUAAUGACUGAGCAUGACUAUAAUCUUUAAGAAGCUCAAAUGCGGAAUACCUCUGAGGCUUAUGCAAGGAUCUGGCCUAGCAUCAAGGACAAAGGCUCAGAGGACUCCUUGGGGCCAGUUUUCUACAGUCAUACCAUCAGCCACAACAGCAGCAAAGGCAGAAGGAAAACAGGGCCCAGGAGUGGCUGACGACUGCCUGGAGUCCAACUGGUCUCCUGGAGUUCAUAAGAGGUUUGACCCCUUCUGAGCUGAAUGUGUCCUGAUUUAGGGGAUAGCUAGGGCAAUAAGAAAGCCUCAGGGGGUGCUACUGAUCUGGAACUCCUACUAAUUAGUGUGUAUGUAUGUGGCCACCAGUGGUUAGCAGAUGAGGUGAAAGAGAUGGGACAGUGACUGUAUCUGUUCUGAUGAAGGAGAUUGUGCAGUUACAUGCGUAACGUCAUUAAACUUCAUUCUUCCAGGU